GAUGAACGCUGGCGGCAUGCCUUACACAUGCAAGUCGAACGGCAGCGGGGGAGAAGCUUGCUUUUCCUGCCGGCGAGUGGCGAACGGGUGAGUAAUACAUCGGAACGUGCCCUGUAGUGGGGGAUAACUAGUCGAAAGAUUAGCUAAUACCGCAUACGACCUGAGGGUGAAAGUGGGGGACCGCAAGGCCUCAUGCUAUAGGAGCGGCCGAUGUCUGAUUAGCUAGUUGGUGGGGUAAAGGCCUACCAAGGCGACGAUCAGUAGCUGGUCUGAGAGGACGAUCAGCCACACUGGGACUGAGACACGGCCCAGACUCCUACGGGAGGCAGCAGUGGGGAAUUUUGGACAAUGGGCGAAAGCCUGAUUCAGCAAUGCCGCGUGUGUGAAGAAGGCCUUCGGGUUGUAAAGCACUUUUGUCCGGAAAGAAAUGGCUCUGGUUAAUACCUGGGGUCGAUGACGGUACCGGAAGAAUAAGGACCGGCUAACUACGUGCCAGCCGCCGCCGUAA
rnacentral:rRNA from 1 species